rnacentral:rRNA from 1 species
GAGACAGGUGCUGCAUGGCUGUCGUCAGCUCGUGUUGUGAAAUGUUGGGUUAAGUCCCGCAACGAGCGCAACCCUUAUCCUUUGUUGCCAGCGAUUCGGUCGGGAACUCAAAGGAGACUGCCGGUGAUAAACCGGAGGAAGGUGGGGAUGACGUCAAGUCAUCAUGGCCCUUACGAGUAGGGCUACACACGUGCUACAAUGGCGCAUACAAAGAGAAGCGACCUCGCGAGAGCAAGCGGACCUCACAAAGUGCGUCGUAGUCCGGAUCGGAGUCUGCAACUCGACUCCGUGAAGUCGGAAUCGCUAGUAAUCGUGGAUCAGAAUGCCACGGUGAAUACGUUCCCGGGCCUUGUACACACCGCCCGUCACACCAUGGGAGUGGGUGCAAAAGAAGU